rnacentral:rRNA from 1 species
GCCAAACAGCUAGCUUAGGCCACCUAAUAAUUGAAUAAUAUCAAUAAACAAAGUGAACCUAACACAGAAACCUUAACCAUUCUUCUACCUUACAAAUGGGAGACAUAAAAGGUCCCACCGAAGCAAUAGAAAAUCUACCGGAAGGGAAAGCUGAAAGAGAAAUGAAACAACCCAUAUAAGCAUAAAAAAGCAAAGAUUAAACCCUGUACCAUUUGCAUCAUGAUUUAGCCCGUACACCCAAGCUAAGAGACCUUUACUUUGAAACCCCGUAACCACGUGAGCUAGCCCGAGGCCAGCUAUUAAGGGCCACCCGUCUCUGUGGCAAUAGAGUGGGAACAACUGCGGGUAGAAGUGACAGACCUACCGAUCCUGGUGAUAGCCAGUUGCCUCUGAUGAUGAAUAGAAGUUCAGCCUCAUGCCCCCCCAAAUCAACAACACAAACAAGACACUGAGAGAGAUAUGAGAGUUAGUUAAAGGGGGUACAGCCCCUUUAACAAAGGACACAACCUUUCCAGGAGGAUAAAGAUCAUAAUAUAAAAAACACGCCGUUUUAGUGGGCCUAAAAGCAGCCACCUAAACAGAAAGCGUUAAAGCUCAAACGGAAAGAAGUUUAUUAUCCCGAUAAAAAAUCUUACUCCCCUAACCACUACUAGGCCAACCCAUGCCCACAUGGAAGAGACCAUGCUAAAAUGAGUAACAAGAAGGCCUGCCCUUCUCCCGGCACAAGUGUAAGCCAAACCGGACCAACCAUUGGCAACUGACGAAGUCAACCCCAGAGAGCACUGCGGAGUACAUAAAAACCGAGAAAAAUCCACGACCUAUCCAUCCUUACCCCCACGGAGUGCCAUUAAGGGAAAGACUAUCAAGAAGAGGAAGGAACUCCUGCAAACACAAGCCUCGCCUGUUUACCAAAAACAUCGCCUCCUGCAACACAACCAAGUAUAGGAGGUCCAGCCUGCCCAGUGACUAUAAGUUUAACGGCCGCGGUAUCCUGACCGUGCAAAGGUAGCGCAAUCACUUGUCUUUUAAAUAGAGACCUGUAUGAAUGGCCAAACGAGGGCUUAACUGUCUCCCCCUUCAAGUCAGUGAAAUUGAUCUGCCCGUGCAGAAGCGGGUAUACUAAUACAAGACGAGAAGACCCUUUGGAGCUUAAGGUAUAAAACUCAGUCCACGUCAAGCAACUUAAUAAAAAACAAAAACUUUGUGGAACAUGAUAUUUUACCUUCGGUUGGGGCGACCACGGAGGAAAAAAAAGCCUCCAAGUGGAUUGGAAAAAUCCUCCUAAAUCUAAGAGAGACAUCUCUAAGCCACAGAACAUCUGACCAAACAUGAUCCGGCAACAAAGCCGAUCAACGAACCAAGUUACCCUAGGGAUAACAGCGCAAUCCUCUCCCAGAGUCCAUAUCGACGAGAGGGUUUACGACCUCGAUGUUGGAUCAGGACAUCCUAAUGGUGCAGCCGCUAUUAAGGGUUCGUUUGUUCAACGAUUAAAGUCCUACGAGAUCAGAGUUCAGACCGGAGAAUCCAGGUCAGUUUCGUAUCUAGUAACGCUACUUACGUCCUAGUACGAAAGGUUCGGAAAUGAGGGGCCGAUACCUCAAGCACCCCCCACCCAGAAUUUAAGCAAACAAAUAAAUAAAAUAAAGGGAGGGCCAAACCCCAACCAGCCAAAAUAAGGACAU